UGUUGCUGGUUUCACGAUAAAGCUGAGAGGAAAUGCAGUGUGAUUAGAAUAUAGCUUUUGUAAUCUUGGGAAGGGCUUGUAAUCGUGAGAGAGGGCAACACGUGUACUAAUCAUUCUUUGAAUCAAGGAAGACUGCUCGUGAAGGUUCAAGACUGGAUGUAGGGUUGUCCUAAGGGGCAAUCUGAACUAGGAUAAAACUGGUGUCAUUAUGGUUGUGCAGCAGUCCAGAUGAGAGCAGGUCAAGUUAUCUAUUGGAAGGCCAAGGCUUGGAUGGACUAAGGUUGAAGUAUACUCAAGACAAUGGUGGAGAAUUGUUAAAAUGUUGUCUCGAGUAUAGGAUAAGAAGAUCAAUGAAAACAGUGCACUUUGAGGGCCAAUAAAGAAUUAAAUAGAAGUUUAUAUCCCAAUCUAUCAUUAGUGAUAGUUGGGGGGGAGGGGGGGGGGGGUUAAACUGUAAAUAUGUUUAUAUCUUCAUUGGGAUAUCUGCCUACUCUAUAAAUAGAGGGCAGAGGGGGUUAGACUCAUACACACGCAUGAGAAUUGUUGUUGGUUUCACAAUAAAGCUGAGAGGAAAGGCUGUGUGAUUAGAAUAUAGCUUUUGUAAUCUUGGGAAGGGCUUGUAAUCGUGAGAGAGGGCAACACGUGUACUGAUGAUUCUUUGAAUCAAGGAAGACUGCUCGUGAAGGUCCAAAACUGGAUGUAGGGUUAUCCUAAGGGGCAAUCUGAACUAGGAUAAAACUGAUGUCAUUGUGGUUUGCGUUUCUGUUUC